rnacentral:pre_miRNA from 1 species
UAUUUAAUCUGGAACACAUUCUCAUCUAAUUAUAACAUGUCCACGUCUAACUGAUUAAAAUCCCACGUAAUCACAAGACCUCCUACGUUAAUAAGUUAAUGUAAAACCCUGGAAGAUAACAAGUACUUCUGACAAGGAAGUGCCGGAGAUAUAU